AGUGAACGCUGGCGGUAGGCCUAACACAUGCAAGUCGAACGGCAGCACAGUAAGAGCUUGCUCUUACGGGUGGCGAGUGGCGGACGGGCGAGGAAUACAUCUGAAUCUACUUUUUCGUGGGGGAUAACGUAGGGAAACUUACGCUAAUACCGCAUACGACCUACGGGUGAAAGCAGGGGAUCUUCGGACCUUGCGCGAUUGAAUGAGCCGAUGUCGGAUUAGCUAGUUGGCGGGGUAAAGGCCCACCAAGGCGACGAUCCGUAGCUGGUCUGAGAGGAUGAUCAGCCACACUGGAACUGAGACACGGUCCAGACUCCUACGGGAGGCAGCAGUGGGGAAUAUUGGACAAUGGGCGCAAGCCUGAUCUAGCCAUACCGCGUGGGUGAAGAAGGCCUUCGGGUUGUAAAGCCCUUUUGUUGGGAAAGAAAAGCAGCAGGUUAAUACCCCGCUGUUCUGACGGUACCCAAAGAAUAAGCACCGGCUAACUUCGUG
rnacentral:rRNA from 1 species